AGAGUUUGAUUCCUGGCUCAGGACGAACGCUGGCGGCGUGCUUAAUACAUGCAAGUCGAACGAGGUCCAUCCGAUCUUCGGAUUGGUGAAGACCUAGUGGCGAACGGGUGCGUAACACGUGAGAAACCUGCCCCGGUCUCUGGAAUAACAGUUGGAAACGGCUGCUAAUACCGGAUGCCGUCGGACCAUCGCAUGGUGGACCGACGAAAGGGUUACCGGACCGGGAGGGUCUCGCGGCCUAUCAGCUUGUUGGUGAGGUAACGGCUCACCAAGGCAUCGACGGGUAGCUGGUCUGAGAGGAUGAUCAGCCACACUGGGACUGAGACACGGCCCAGACUCCUACGGGAGGCAGCAGUAGGGAAUAUUGCACAAUGGGCGAAAGCCUGAUGCAGCAACGCCGCGUGCGGGAAGAAGGCCCUAGGGUUGUAAACCGCUUUCAGCAGGGAAGAAAAUGACGGUACCUGCAGAAGAAGGUGCGGCCAACUACGUGCCAGCAGCCGCGGUGACACGUAGGCACCAAGCGUUGUCCGGAUUUAUUGGGGCGUAAAGAGCUCGUAGGCGGUUCAGUAAGUCGGGUGUGAAAACUCUGGGGCUCAACCCCAGAGACGCCACUCGAUACUGCUGUGACUAGAGUGCGGUAGGGGGAGCGGGGAAUUCCUAGUGUAGCGGUGAAAUGCGCAGAUAUUAGGAGGAACACCAGUGGCGAAGGCGCCGCUCUGGGCCGUAACUGACGCUGAGGAGCGAAAGCGUGGGUAGCAAACAGGAUUAGAUACCCUGGUAGUCCACGCCGUAAACGUUGGGCACUAGUGUGGGUCUCAACCAACGAGAUCCGCGCCGUCGCUACGCAUUAAGUGCCCCGCCUGGGGGAGUACGGCCGCAAGGCUAAACUCAAGGAAUUGACGG
rnacentral:rRNA from 1 species